rnacentral:rRNA from 1 species
UACAGAGGGGGCGAGCGUUAUUCGGAAUUACUGGGCGUAAAGCGCACGUAGGCGGCUUUGUAAGUCAGAGGUGAAAGUCUGGAGCUCAACUCCAGAACUGCCUUUGAAACUGCAUCGCUUGAAUCCAGGAGAGGUGAGUGGAAUUCCGAGUGUAGAGGUGAAAUUCGUAGAUAUUCGGAAGAACACCAGUGGCGAAGGCGACUAACUGGACAGGUAUUGACGCUGAGGUGCGAAAGCGAGGGGAGCAAACAGG